GUGCUCUUAGUUCAGUUGGUUAGAAUAUCAGAUUGUGACUCUGAGGGUCAUGGGUUCGAAUCCCAUAGAGCACCCCA
rnacentral:tRNA from 1 species